CCUACGAGGAGCAGCAGUGAGGAAUAUUGGUCAAUGGACGAGAGUCUGAACCAGCCAAGUAGCGUGAAGGAUGACUGCCCUAUGGGUUGUAAACUUCUUUUAUAUGGGAAUAAAAUGUUCCACGUGUGGGAUUUUGUAUGUACCAUAUGAAUAAGGAUCGGCUAACUCCGUGCCAGCAGCCGCGGUAAUACGGAGGAUCCGAGCGUUAUCCGGAUUUAUUGGGUUUAAAGGGAGCGUAGGUGGAUUGUUAAGUCAGUUGUGAAAGUUUGCGGCUCAACCGUAAAAUUGCAGUUGAGACUGGCAGUCUUGAGUGCAGGAGAGGUUGGCGGAAUUCGUGGUGUAGCGGUGAAAUGCUUAGAUAUCACGAAGAACUCCGAUUGCGAAGGCAGUUCACUGGACUGCAACUGACACUGAGGCUCGAAAGUGUGGGUAUCAAACAGGAUUAGAUACCCGAGUAGUC
rnacentral:rRNA from 1 species